UGGGGAAUUUUGGACAAUGGGCGAAAGCCUGAUCCAGCAAUGCCGCGUGUGUGAAGAAGGCCUUCGGGUUGUAAAGCACUUUUGUCCGGAAAGAAAUCCUUGGCUCUAAUACAGUCGGGGGAUGACGGUACCGGAAGAAUAAGCACCGGCUAACUACGUGCCAGCAGCCGCGGUAAUACGUAGGGUGCAAGCGUUAAUCGGAAUUACUGGGCGUAAAGCGUGCGCAGGCGGUUUGCUAAAGACCGAUGUGAAAUCCCCGGGCUCAACCUGGGAACUGCAUUGGUGACUGGCAGGCUAGAGUAUGGCAGAGGGGGGUAGAAUUCCACGUGUAGCAGUGAAAAUGCGUAGAGAUGUGGAGGAAUACCGAUGGCGAAGGCAG
rnacentral:rRNA from 1 species